UGUCUCCAGACAGCCUGACUAGGAUGUGACAGUUGGUAAUGUUUCCAGACAGCCUGUGACUCACACAGUAGUAUACCCAACACAAACAGGGCAACAUUGGGCACUAUAUUUUACACUUCCUUGAUAAUGAAGUUAACCCUAAACUCUGACCUAUGAUCAGAUAUCCUUACCGCAGAUCCUAAUCUUAGCAUUAGGAGGAUAAUGACAAUAUCUGACCCAAGACUAAGACCCUGAUCUAGGAUCAGUCUAGUCUUUUAACUCAUAAUCAAUAAGAUAACAAUAACCAGGGGGACCUGAUUCUAGAUCAGCACUUCUUUGUCUGAUGUGCUUUUGUGAGUAUGGUCCUUCAAGAGACUGUGUUGAAUAGAGGGCACACUGCUGUUCCUCACUACAGUUUGUUCCUUCCGCCAGCAGGGGGCCCCCCAGCCUUGGUCCCAGUUUGACUGGAGCAGCAGUGGCCUUGGCGUCACCCGUCUGGAUGAGCUAGACAGUGACACCAGCAGCCGUCCAGCUGACACCCUGAACCACCUCAUGUCUACUAUGGAGAACACCACCACCUCCACCAGGAAACCUCAUAGGGAUGAGGAGGACCAGCUGAGUGAGGAGGCAGCCAGGGUGAUCUGUGGGCUGGCUGACCUGUCCUUCAUGAAGGCUAAGGUCCUAAUGUUCCCCAUCACCCUCACACCAGCCGCUGGCUCUGGUACACUGCUAGAGUGAUGCACACAUACACAUGGAUGGAUGCACACACAUAAA